GUUAUAUGGUCAAGCGAAUAAGCGCACACGGUGGAUGCCUUGGCGGUCAGAGGCGAUGAAGGACGUGGCAGCCUGCGAAAAGUGCGGGGGAGCUGGCAACAAGCAUUGAUCCCGUAAUGUCCGAAUGGGGAAACCCACCGCUUUGAGCGGUAUCCUGCAGUGAAUACAUAGCUGCUGGAAGCGAACCCGGUGAACUGAAAUAUCUAAGUAACCGGAGGAAAAGAAAUCAACCGAGAUUCCCUGAGUAGCGACGAGCGAACGGGGAACAGCCCUUAAGCUGGUUUGGUUUUAGAAGAACAACCUGGAAAGGUUGGCCAUAGACGGUGAUAGCCCGGUAUUCGAAAAGGCCUUAUCAGUGAAAUCGAGUAGGGCGGGGCACGUGAAACCCUGUCUGAAUAUGGGGGGACCAUCCUCCAAGGCUAAAUACUACUGACCGACCGAUAGUGAACCAGUACCGUGAGGGAAAGGCGAAAAGAACCCCGGAGAGGGGAGUGAAAUAGAUCCUGAAACCGUGUGCGUACAAGCAGUAGGAGCUCGAAAGAGUGACUGCGUACCUUUUGUAUAAUGGGUCAGCGACUUACUGUUCGUGGCAAGCUUAACCGUAUAGGGGAGGCGAAGGGAAACCGAGUCUGAUAAGGGCGCAUAGUCGCGGGCAGUAGACCCGAAACCGGGUGAUCUAGUCAUGCCCAGGGUGAAGGUGCGGUAACACGCACUGGAGGCCCGAACCCACUCCCGUUGCAAAGGUAGGGGAUGAGGUGUGAUUAGGAGUGAAAAGCUAAUCGAACCCGGAGAUAGCUGGUUCUCCUCGAAAGCUAUUUAGGUAGCGCCUCAUAUGUAUCCUCUCGGGGGUAGAGCACUGUUAUGGCUAGGGGGUCAUCGCGACUUACCAAACCAUUGCAAACUCCGAAUACCGAGACGGACUGUAUGGGAGACACACGGCGGGUGCUAACGUCCGUCGUGAAAAGGGAAACAACCCAGACCCACAGCUAAGGUCCCAAAUUCAGUGCUAAGUGGAAAACCAUGUGGAAAGGCACAGACAGCCAGGAGGUUGGCUUAGAAGCAGCCACCCUUUAAAGAAAGCGUAAUAGCUCACUGGUCGAGUCGGUCUGCGGGGAAGAUUUAACGGGGCUAAAGCACUGAACCGAAGCUUGGGGUGCAUCACUUUGUGAUGCGCGGUAGAGGAGCGUUCCGUAAGCCGUUGAAGGUGGAUUGAGAAGUCUGCUGGAGGUAUCGGAAGUGCGAAUGCUGACAUGAGUAACGAUAAUGCGGGUGAAAAACCCGCACGCCGAAAGCCCAAGGUUUCCUUGCGCAACGUUAAUCGGCGCAGGGUGAGUCGGCCCCUAAGGCGAGGCAGAAAUGCGUAGUCGAUGGGAAGCAGGUUAAUAUUCCUGCACCUCGCGUAAGUGCGAUGGAGGGACGGAGAAGGUUAGGUGUACCAGGCGUUGGUUGUCCUGGGGAAAGGCGGUAGGUUUGGAUCUUUGGCAAAUCCGGGAUCCUUCAAGACCGAGCACCGAGACGAGUCAUUAGACGAAGUCACUGAUACCACGCUUCCAGGAAAAGCUCCUAAGCUUCAGCUUACGCAGACCGUACCGUAAACCGACACAGGUGGGUAGGAUGAGAAUUCUCAGGCGCUUGAGAGAACUCGGGUGAAGGAACUAGGCAACAUGGCACCGUAACUUCGGGAGAAGGUGCACCACGACCGGUGGCCCAUGCGGGUAUAAGCUGGUGGUGGUCGAAGUGACCAGGCCGCUGCGACUGUUUAUCAAAAACACAGCACUCUGCAAACACGAAAGUGGACGUAUAGGGUGUGACGCCUGCCCGGUGCUGGAAGGUUAAUUGAUGGGGUCAGCCGCAAGGCGAAGCUCUUGAUCGAAGCCCCAGUAAACGGCGGCCGUAACUAUAACGGUCCUAAGGUAGCGAAAUUCCUUGUCGGGUAAGUUCCGACCUGCACGAAUGGCGUAACGACAGCGGCGCUGUCUCCACCCGAGACUCAGUGAAAUUGAAAUCGCUGUGAAGAUGCAGCGUUCCCGUGGCAAGACGGAAAGACCCCGUGAACCUUUACUAUAGCUUUACACUGAACGUUGAGUUCGUCUGUGUAGGAUAGGUGGGAGGCUAUGAAACUGUGGCGCCAGCUGCAGUGGAGCCAUCCUUGAAAUACCACCCUGUCGUGCUUGACGUUCUAACUGAGGUCCGUUAUCCGGAUCCAGGACCGUGUAUGGUGGGUAGUUUGACUGGGGCGGUCUCCUCCUAAAGAGUAACGGAGGAGCUCGAAGGUACGCUCAGCGCGGUCGGACAUCGCGCACUGUGUGCAAAGGCAUAAGCGUGCUUGACUGCAAGAUCGACGGAUCAAGCAGGUAGGAAACUAGGACUUAGUGAUCCGGUGGUUCUGUAUGGAAGGGCCAUCGCUCAACGGAUAAAAGGUACUCCGGGGAUAACAGGCUGAUACCGCCCAAGAGUUCAUAUCGACGGCGGUGUUUGGCACCUCGAUGUCGGCUCAUCACAUCCUGGGGCUGUAGUCGGUCCCAAGGGUAUGGCUGUUCGCCAUUUAAAGUGGUACGCGAGCUGGGUUCAGAACGUCGUGAGACAGUUCGGUCCCUAUCUGCCAUGGGCGUUGGAGAUUUGAGAGGGGCUGCUCCUAGUACGAGAGGACCGGAGUGGACGAACCUCUGGUGUUCCGGUUGUCACGCCAGUGGCAUUGCCGGGUAGCUAUGUUCGGAAGCGAUAACCGCUGAAAGCAUCUAAGCGGGAAGCGCGCCUCAAGAUGAGAUCUCCCGGGGCACAAGCCCCCUGAAGGAACCAUAUA
rnacentral:rRNA from 1 species